rnacentral:rRNA from 1 species
GGAUUAGAUACCCGGUAGUCCACGCCGUAAACGAUGGAUACUAGCUGUAUGCCUACUUCAGGUAGAUGUGUGGCUAAGCGAAAGUGAUAAGUAUCCCACCUGGGGAGUACGAUCGCAAGAUUGAAACUCAAAGGAAUUGACGGGGGCCCGCACAAGCGGUGGAGCAUGUGGUUUAAUUCGAUGAUACGCGAGGAACCUUACCAGGGCUUAAAUGUAGUCUGACAGCUUUAGAGAUAGAGUUUUCUUCGGACAGAUUACAAGGUGCUGCAUGGUUGUCGUCAGCUCGUGCCG